rnacentral:rRNA from 1 species
CAGCAGCCGCGGGAAUACGAAGGGUGCAAGCGUUACUCGGAAUUACUGGGCGUAAAGCGCGCGUGGGCGGCUUUUUAAGUCAGAGGUGAAAGCCCGGGGCUCAACCCCGGAACUGCCUUUGAAACUAGGUGACUAGAAUCUUGGAGAGGUCAGUGGAAUUCCGGGUGUAGAGGUGAAAUUCGUAGAUAUUCGGAAGAGCACCAGUGGCGAAGGCGACUGACUGGACAAGUAUUGACGCUGAGGUGCGAAAGCGUGGGGAGCAAACAGGAUUAGAUACCCCAGUAGUCCCUGUCUCUUAUAC